UUUCGAAAGGAAGAUUAAUACCGCAUAAGAUUGUAGUAUCGCAUGAUAUAGUAAUUAAAGGAGCAAUUCGCUAUAAGAUGGACCCGCGUCGCAUUAGCUAGUUGGUGAGGUAAUGGCUCACCAAGGCGACGAUGCGUAGCCGACCUCGAGAGGGUGAUCGGCCACAUUGGGACUGAGACACGGCCCAGACUCCUACGGGAGGCAGCAUG
rnacentral:rRNA from 1 species